UGGCCCACAAACGCCUGGCCCAGCCCAAGGUUUGCUUCCUGUGAAGCUCAGGGGUCUGGCUGCAUGAUCAUCAGGGUGAUGCAAUGCACAAUUUGCAAAGUAACCUCCCUUUUUUUAAAUAGAAAGAGGGCGUCCUCGGCAAUUUGUCGCUUUAUGGCCCUGCAGAGGACACCAGGCAAUUUGCACUUGCAGUGUACCGAAACGUGCAUGAACCUGGGAAGACGUGGGAUGCUAAUGGCUGAUGGAACUAAACCAGGCAGCUUGAUGGAGACGAGGGACGAGACAAACAUGCAAAAGAGUGCAUACGUGGGGCUGCGUAACCAGGAUUCUGCCUGCUACUUAAACAGUGUACUGCAGUGUCUCUUCUUCACGCGAGAGUUCAGAGAGGCCAUCCUCAGCUGCAAUAAUGUUGGUGACUCCCACAUCAUGUACCAUCUGCAAAGGCUGUGUCAAGGGAUGACUGGUAAUUCAUCACCUAAUACUGAAGAAAUUAUCCAAUAUCUUAGGAUGAACAAUGUGCACCAGCUAGAGGUGGUGGGAUGUUUCCAGCUUCUGAUGAAUAAAAUCAUUGAGGACAAAGAAGACUUUCGUCAGCCAUACCAGGUGAAAAUGGUCCAGUCCACCACUUGCCAUGGAGGUAGCUAUCUGAUGAGGCUGGAGAAGCCUGACCUGAAUCUCACCUUCUGUGUUCACAAGUGCGCUCCGGCUCCAACAGUUUACUCUGUGCGUUCCUGUUUUGAAACUCUACCCCAGAUUUUGGUCAUCCAUUUGAAGAGAGAUCCGGGUGACAUUAAUGUUGAGGUCUCUGUGCCCCCCUCACUGACACUGAAAACUGAAAAGCAGCUUGACACCGUCUAUGAGCUCUUUGUGGUGUGUCACCAUUCUGGGGGAAUUCAGGGUGAUCAGUACAUGGUCGAAAUAAAGUCAGUUGAAAAUGAUUGCUGGUACCGCUUCACUGAAACCCAGGUGCAAGAGAUCCCAGAAGGACAGAUCUGCUUGGAUGAACAACACAGUGCCACCGCCUCUCUGUUAAUGUACCACAGGGUGAAUUCCGAUGCUAGGCCAAUCACAGAUACACCUGCUGGGCCAUUCACCGAGUCUGUGGGGAAGUCAGUCAUUGGUGAUACAUCCAGCGAAGGCUCCCGCAGGUGGAACUCGGAUGUCUGUGGGGAUGGAGAAUGCUACGGUGCAAGUGGCUGGAGCACCAGUAGGAGUGUACCCUCAUCUGACCCACGAAAAGCCAUAGAUACACCUGCUGGGCCAUUCACCGAGUCUGUGGGGAAGUCAGUCAUUGGUGAUACAUCCAGCGAAGGCUCCCGCAGGUGGAACUCGGAUGUCUGUGGGGAUGGAGAAUGCUACGGUGCAAGUGGCUGGAGCACCAGUAGGAGUGUACCCUCAUCUGACCCACGAAAAGCCAUAGAUACACCUGCUGGGCCAUUCACCGAGUCUGUGGGGAAGUCAGUCAUUGGUGAUACAUCCAGCGAAGGCUCCCGCAGGUGGAACUCGGAUGUCUGUGGGGAUGGAGAAUGCUACGGUGCAAGUGGCUGGAGCACCAGUAGGAGUGUACCCUCAUCUGACCCACGAAAAGGUUUCCUGCCUGAAGAUGCCCUCCCCAGUCCCAGUACAAGGGAUGUUGGGUCCAGCUUGGUUAGAGGCAAACCUUCCAAGAAAUUGACCCCUGUAUUACCAGGCACAUACGUGGGGUUGCGUAACCAGGGUUCCACCUCCUACUUAAACAGUCUGCUGCAGUGUCUCUUCUUCACGCGAGAGCUCAGAGAGGCCAUCCUCAGCUUCGAUAAUGGUGGUGACUCCAGCAUUGUGUGUCAGCUGCAAAAGCUGUUUCAAGAACUGAAGUGUAAUGAAUCAGCACCUUCCACCAAAGGGAUUACAAAGUGCCUUGGGGUGAGAGACGUGCACCAGCAGCAGGAUGUCGCGGAAUAUUUCCGGAUUCUGAUGAAUAAAAUCGUUGAGGACAAAAAGGAGAUUCAGCAGCUAUACCAGGUGGAAAUGGUCCAUUCCAUCGUCUGCCAUGGAUGCGAACAGCAAACUAGAAUCAAGGAGAAUCCUGUCCUGAGUCUUGCUCUCUCUCUUGACAAGUGCAACUGUAAAGCUUAUUCUGUGAGUAAUGCGUUGGAUGCUGUCCAGGAAAAAAAUGAAUUUACUGGUGAUGAGCAGUUCUAUUGUGAAACAUGUGAAAGCAAACAAGAUGCCACAUCGCGCUGCUACUUUGAAACACUACCCCCGAUUCUUGUUCUGAAUUUGAAGAGAUAUCAGUUUGAUGGUAACUGGUUUAGAAAGCUGCAUUAUGAGGUGUCUGUGCCUUUUUCACUGCCUGUGAAUUUGAAAGAACAGACUGCUGAGAACAUGGACUUUCCACUGAGCUCUCAGAUCCUACAGUAUGAGCUCUUUGCAGUGUGUCACCAUUCUGGAGGAAUUGAUGGUGGCCAUUAUGUGGCUGAAAUAAAAUCAUAUGAAAAUGAGUGCUGGUACUCCUUCAACGAUACCGUGGUGGAAAAGAUGCCAGAAGACAUGAAUACAAUGGAUGCCAAGGACAGUUACACUGCAUAUCUGUUAAUGUACCGCAAGAUGGAUUCCUUUGCUAAGCCCAGGAUGUAUGUGAGGCUGCGUAACCAAAGCUGCAUCUGCUAUUUAAACAGCCUGCUGCAUUGUCUCUUCUUCACGCGAGAGCUCAGAGAGGCCAUCCUCAGGUGCGAUAAUGUUGGUGACUCCGUCAUUGUGUGCCAUCUGCAACAGCUGUUUAAAAAGCUGAUGACUGGUGAUUCAUCACCUACCACUGAGAAGAUUACAAGAGCCCUUGAGAUGGGCAAUGUGCGCCAGCAGCUAAAUGUGAAGGAAUGUUUCCAGCUUCUGAUGAAUAAAAUCAUUGAGGACAAAGAAGAUAUUCAGCAGCUAUACCAGGUGAAAAUGGUCCACCGCAUCACUUGCCAUGGAUGCCACCAUCAGAAGAUGCUGAAGAAAUCCGAUCUGAGUAUUUGUGUCUCAGUUCAGAAACAAAAUUCUAAUUGUGCGCUUUAUUCUGUGGAUCAUGCUUUGGCUGAUAUGCAGGAAGAACAUCCCUAUACUGGGGAUGGCCAACACUAUUGUCAAUGCUAUGGAAACCAAAGAAGCACACAGUGCUACUGUUUUGAAACUCUACCCCAGAUUCUGGUCAUCCAUUUGGAGAGAGAUCCGGUUGACAUUAAUGCUGGGGUGUCUGUGCCCCUCUCACUCACGCUAACAACAGGCAAGCAGCUUUACACAGACUAUGAGCUCUUUGGAAUAUGUCACCAUAUUGGAGCAAUUCAUGGCGAUCAUUACACGGCUGAAGUAAAGUCAUUGGAAGAUAAUCACUGGUACCACUUCAAUGAUAAAGGAGUGUCUGAGGUUUCAGAAGAACAGAUCUCUUCAAAAGUCCAGAACAGUGACACCGUAUCUCUGUUAAUGUACCACAAGGUGAAUUCCGAUGCUAAGCCAGAAGCAAAGAAAAUUGAGAAGAAUACUGGCAGAAGGAACAGAGGAGACCAGGUGCCUGAUUCAAGCAUGUGGGGGAGGCUUUCCCCAGUAACAGGGUGUGCUGAACUGAUGAGGGCAGCUGAUCCUCAGCAGAAACCAGACAGCAAAAAGAAAAAAAGCUCAAGUAAAUUUCAGAGGACUUAGUCACCUCUUCCAUUUGAGCCCAUGAGUUGCCCAUAGAGGAGAAAAUUGUGUGAAGUUUUUCAUAGAUUCCAAGGCCAGGAGGGACCACUGUGAUCAUCUAGUCUGACCAUAUUAUCACAACCCAGAGAACUUCCCCAAAACAUUUCCCAGAGCAGAUCUCUGCACAGGCAAGUUUGGGGUCAUGGCCCCUUCCUCCCUUCCCUGCAAACUGCUGAUCCAAGGAGUUCAUGACUGCAAUUAUAGCAAAGGAGCGUAUCUUCAAAAUAAAACUUAUCGGUAGAAUAUGCCAAUGAGGUAAAUAGUAAUCAGGGGCAGGGAUAAUUAUAUUCAGUAUAAGGUUAUCAAUAUUCAUUGUGUGGGCAUUCAUAUUACUCCGUAAGAGUUUUGGGGGUGUUGUAAUAAAUGUAGGGAUUUACAUCCUAAUGUAAAUAAAAAGAGAAUGUUGUAACUAAUCCAGCGCUUACUGGACAAUUGGGUCCAGGGGAACAAGUACCGCAAUAAAGAAGCCCAUCUACUCAAA